GGUGCAAACGGGGUGCUCCUGCUUUGGGGAGCAGUUGUCCAAAAGAGGCUUGGGGAGCUUCUGCACCAGUGGGGCUAGUAGCUUUUUUUUGUUCAAGUCUUGGUUUAGUAGGGGAGCAAAUGAAAAUGGGUAUGUGAAAGCUCUCCUGUUAGGCAGAAUAUUUCAGACUCUGUGUUCAAGCUGUAUUUUAAUCAAGGGUAUCAAAAAUACAGAGAGAGUUUGUCACACAGACUGAGCGUUAAGGAUAUUUUAACAGGCAGAAAGAAGGAUGAGCGAGAGCUUAGCAAACUAACAUAGGCCUGGAAAAUAAGAUUCGAUGACCUUUUAAUCACUGGCUUUCUCAGUAUGUAGAGGAAGACAAUUUAUUUUCCCAGUGCUUCAGCUGCUUUCUGUACAGUGGGGAUAAUAACACUACUUGAAAUAAGCCUUGUAGGGGGAAAUGUUAAAUAUUGGCAGCUGCUUAUGGGUUUACAAUUAAAGAAUCACACUAGCUAUUUACUUCGGGCGAGUAAAUGCUAUGUGUAGAUACAGAAUUUCAAAGUAAAAGUGGUCAUGAAAUCAUGACAUGGUAAGGCACUCCUCUCAGACUGUGACCAGAGGGUACCGGAGGACCUGUGGUAUUUUAUGAGACAUCUGUACCAUGAGCUAAAAAACCAACUGGACAUUAAAGAGCCUUUGACAAUCUUCAGAGGAAAAGACGAGUUAUCACCUUUAAAUCUGAAAUUAGAGAUAAUUACAUUUUCCUCCCUUAAUCACCCUGUAGUUCCAAUUAGGGAUGCUAUUUCUCACUUUCUCUCCCAAAGUGUGGCGCAAUGCCGCUAUGCAUUAGUGAACAGCUGCCUUACUUGACCCCAGUGGUGACUGCUUCUUGGCAGUGGAUGAAACGAGCCACGCCGAUUCCUUGACUACAUCACAGGGAUAUUGUGACUGGCUUAAUUAGAUAAUGCUCAAGAAGCGUUGUGAGAUACUUGGCUUAAAAGCAUUAUGUAAGGCCAAAUUAAUUAUGAGUAUUAAUACAAUCUUGAUCUAAAGAGUAAUUUGAAUAAGGGAUAAAAUAAUAACGAGAUCUUUGUGAGUCACGUACAGAGUGCUUUGCUUCUCCACAUAAAACAUCUCCCACGUCAUUUAAAAUGUUUCCGCGGAGCAGAGCAGGGCAGUGCCGCUCAGAAGUGACAGGAAUAUGCGCUGCCAGAUGUGAGUCAUCGCUGAACUCCAGCACUCCUUUCUUUGUUCACAUUUCAAGCACAAGACACCCUGUUCCCUAUGACAAGAGUUGCCUGCAGAUGCCAGAACAUGAAAUGAGGAACCCGCCAGACAAGGUGGGGUUGUUUGGUUUUGUUUUGAAGUUUGGGGGAUUAUCUUCAUUCCCUGUGCAGAUCUGUGGUGACAAGGCACAACCAUCCUUGUCCCUGGGUGAAAUCCUGGCACUUCUGAAAUCAAGGAAAUGUUCCCUUUGACUUCAGUGGAACCAGGAUUUCCACCACGUACAUGUUUCAGUGCUGUGUUCUUUCAGGUAAGGAAAUGUGGAAGUGCUGGAAACGAUGUGAAUUUACGUAGCCAUGUAGUCAUUUUCCCUACAAAAAUAGAAAAAUCAGACUGAACUGAACUGACUGAUCUCCAAAUCUGUCUUGAUGGCUGUGUGGCCAGCACAGGCUUCCACUGCAGCUUUUUGCUUGGUAAGCUUUAUAUAUUUUGUGGAUACCUAGAAAGUUUGGUAUCAGCUUUAUUUUAAUGAAAUCUGAGCACGUGGAGAACAGAUUUCUAAGUCUAAACUUUUUAUAUUGCUAUGGUAGAUUCUUUUGAUUAAAGACACAUAUCUACAGUACUCUAGGAUGAACUGAGUUGCUCCCUAGAUCUGCACUGAUGCUAAGAGGAGUCUACAGUAUUGGACAAAUAUCUCUAAUGACUACUCUUCACACAAACUCCACUUAUAAGGCCAGACUUCCACAUGCAGACUUCCUGGUUAUGUAAAACCUGAGCUGCCUGACUAAAGCCAAGCAUAUAAAUGACAUUCUGAAUAUUUAGUUCUAGUCCUUUUAUUUUUAUUUACUUCUGUGCUUCAUUACAAUGAGAGAUACAUGUUUUUGUGUUUCGGGGAUUAUAAUUACUCGUGUCCAUAGAGCAGCUCACCAGAGAGUAUAAUUAUUGCUCACACAAGGCAAGAAUAAGAUUAGAAAGUCGGACACGGUCAUGACUCUUACAUUUUAAUUUGUUCACCUCCUGGUAGCACCUAACAGAUCACCUACGCCUGUCCUAAUUUUUCAAUACAAAGAGAUUAAACUCCUGCCUCCGUGAGGCAGAUAUUUUUUGUGAGGAAGAUAUUCAUACCGGAAAAUGAAGUUCACCUUACUCACAAAGACAUAGAGCUGUCCGAAUCGCCACCUGCGGCAGGGACGGGGACGGCACCCAGGGCAGCUGGCCACGUGUGCACCACAGCCGAUGUCCCAGAAAUGUCCGAGGCCACAGAGACACGACAGACAGCGCUGGGUGCACAGGGAUGGAGGGCGUCCUCUUUUUGGGGAGAAUUCAAGCAAGGUCUUGGGGCAAGCUGCGUAUCUACCACAGCUGGAGAGAUUGAUUCAGGCUGGAGGUGACAUAUCCAUCGCUCGUGAGCCACGUGUAGACCAAGAAUCGGUUUGACGUGGCCUCUGAGGACUCCUUGAAGAUGGGGGCUACCGCGGGGAUGGCCAGAGAGGCAUCUAUUUCCAGGUGGAACCUGGUCCAGAAUUCAAAAGUGCUUUUAGUGCAGGAAGACACUGGCCUGCCCCUUACUCGCCUGGAGAGCGGGCGCAGAGGGAGGGAGGGUGCUGCCUGGCACAGGUACCUGCUCCUUUGCUAUUACACUGGCCUGUGCACUGCUGACGCUUCUGGUUUCUUCUGUUUUCUGUCUGGUGCACAGUUUAAUUUCCUGAGAACUCUCAUGCUUCAGUACAACAAAAGUCUCCAGGCUUUAACAUAGCAUGUCUGGUAAGACAUUAUGGUUUGUGCUAUAUGUUGGGCUAAGCCAAACAAGUUAAGCUCUAUCAAGCAGUAAAAACUGGCAACGUCCCUUCUUUGUCUAUUACCAGUGAAACCUGGACCUCUAAAUCACUGAAAAAGAUCUGGUACUCAGACUUUGCCCGGGCUGAAUUACUCCGAGUUUGUGCGAAGAUUUUCCUCCUCCGCAGGGAGUCCUGACCAUCUCCUCAGAGCCAUAUUGAACAGCAUGCAUUCAUGAGCUUAGUUUGGGAACUACAUCCCUAGCUAUAAUGUUGCCCAAGAUUUCUCCAUGAGGCCUUGGUAAGGUACGUGAGACCACGUAGAGAUGGCCAUCCCACUCUCCGUGCUACAACCAAGUGAACAGAGCAGCCGCUUUUCCCUCUAUGCACUCAGUUGAGAUCUUCCCUUUCACUGUGUCACCAUGUACGGCUUCCUGCUCUGACUCCAGAAAAACUGUCUGUCUUGACGACAGGGUAAGGAACAGCAGAAUUUCUCAUGUGCCAUUCUUUUUCCUGAACCUGGUUUAUAUUUGAUCACAACCAUUUUGGUAUUAGAAGCCAGGUACCAUACAUGACCAUUAGAAGAUUUGUUGAAUGUGACAUCUCACAUUUUUAUUGAAGUGAAGCAAGGAUUAUAAUUUUUUAAUUCUACCCAGGACCAGAACCCUCAUAAGAGUUGUACACACUUGCAAUUUUAACGACUUAAAAGUACCACUUAUCUCAUGCCUGAGUUUAGCCCAAAAUGACUCGCUACAAAACAAUAAAUUUUUUUUCAGAGAUUUGUCUCCAUUACAGAAAUGCUGGAAGUGAUAAGAGGAGAGCGAGCAAGCUGUUUGUAAAUAUUACUUAUUCUGUUUUAACAUCUCUUAGUAGUAAAUGUUCACAAACAAGCAUAAAUUGAGAAGUUCAUUCUGCAUAUUUUACCUUCAUUUUACCUGUUUCUUUUAUCGGACUUAUGUCUGACUGUAUGAUUUUAAGUGGUUUUUCAAAAUUGCUUCAAAAAAGAUGCUUCUGUAGAGUUUGCAUAUACUUGAUAUAUAUAUAUCUUCGGAAUGAUUUGUUCUUGUGCAUGCUUUUAGUUACAGAAUAAAGACUGCUUAAACUUUUA